AUAAUUGAUCAAUUUCAAAAUUCAUGCAAAAAAUCCAGUGUUGAAAAUUACUUCAGUUCAAAGUAAACUUGACAACGCUGAUGGAAAACUUUGUCUGGAAGAUGUCAGAGGUUGAGGGGUGAGAACGAAAAAGCUUGCUCUCAGACUUGCUUUCGUUUAAAAUGUAGUCUUAGUUUCGCUUUCGAACUUUGGAACAGUUUGUGAGAUUGACGUCUCAGUUCUUUGUAUGUCUGUUUCCAACGAGGUAAUCAGCCAAUUCGUAGGCAAGGCUUUUCAUUUUUCAGUGCCAAUCGCAUUUUUUAUUCAUCGUGCGACAUGCCUGGCUCAUUCAUCUCACCGUUCAAGUCUUUUUUUUGCUUCUUGAGUCUUUCAACAUUCAUUCUUUUUCCCCAUGUCUCAAUCAUGUCAGUGAUAUAUAGCGUCUUUCUGUUCUCCCUAUAUACAGACAUCAAAAGAUUCUUUGAUGAUAACUUUUCCUGUUACAGCAUAGAGUGUAUAGAAACCAUACAUUUUAUAACCCCUGUAGAUCUAGUUCUUAGUGCAUAGGGACGUAGGGAAAAAGGACUGAUCAAUGAUCAUGGACAACAUCACUCCAAUAAGAUAACACUCUGUUGUGCUGUUGGCUCUCAAAACUGUAUGACGUCACUGGCAGUGUCCGCUCUCUACGACCGUCCUAUCCAUCAUCUUCACGUUGUACAAAUCGUUUCUCCCUUUAUGUUAUGGUUAGGCUGUGCAUCUACGCUGUCGUCUAUAUGAGAAGACGAAUGGGGUUCCGGUGUCUCGAUAAUUCAAUUGUUACGUCUGAUAAAUCGAUUUUCACAUGAAAUGCGGGGGGUAACAGCAGAUUGGACUAUACAGCCCAAGAAGAACAGCUGUGGCCACUUUUUUCGCUACUUCUGGUCCAACGGAUUGUGCGAUUCGUUAUGGACGAACAUAACACAGAGGUACAAUUUUGUUGAACAUAUUAAAACAAUGUCGCACGUAAAAAAUUAGACGCUUGACUCUUGAUUGCGUAUGUCUGGAGAAACUAUUCACAAAUGACUCAAGUAAAAGCCAUUACAAAAUAUGAUUACGACGAAAUGAUUCCAUGUUAUUGUUUGGCCGUGUGCGGAACAGGACACAAUAAAUCCUUUGCCACGCCCACUCCCUUUUUUUGUGUCGUGUGUAGGCUGCAUCCUGCUAUAUCACAGCUCAUCUUUCUUUACACAUAGCGAAGAAUGCCAGCCUUUUGUUGCAUGCUGUACAUCUACCAUGAUGAUUUAUUUGCACCACAUUGGACAAGGAAACCCGGGAAACGAAGAAAGUAUUUUUUCUGUUUGUUUUCUGCGAUAUUUUUAAAAUAUAUUAUUUGUUUCUAGCUGCAUGGGAAAAGAAUGUUUCUAUCGGACCAUGGUCGAAGCAAAUAAAGAAGGAAACAAGUUGGAAGGAUUUAUAUCUAUCGUCUUGUCAACUUGCUCUAAUAUACUUUCCUUUUCUCUCUGCUUUUCUUUAUGUAUGUACAAAUAACAAGGAGCAGCAUAGGAAAACGAACACUGGGCUUCCGCGGACGCAAUGAAACAACAAGAAUUGUUCCUCGUUUUUCUUUCAAUUUUUAUCCUCCCUUUACGUGAUUUGCUGGUGGAAUGCUGGAACCCUGGUGAUAACGUUGUCCUCUAAUACCGUGAAGCACCAGCACAUCGUGCGGACGCUGUAAUAUAUAGAGGCGGCAAAAGAAAACAAAAAUAACUGGAGCUCAAACAAACAAAAAAUAUCCAACAUUAUUUUUUGUUUUGCUUUGUUAUUUAUUACAAUAGGCCUCGAAAAAUGUAGUUUUUUUUGGUUUUUUUUU